rnacentral:lncRNA from 1 species
AAAUUUGUUCACAUUGGAUUUUCUGGUUGAAUAGAUGGAACAGUCUAGCUAUACAGGUCUCUUAGAUAGUUUUUUUUUUUGUUGUUGUUGGCAAACAGGUCUCUUAGUUAGUUUAAUUCUUAAUUACAAGGUUAAAAUAUUUAAUUUACUCAGGAAGAGUGGUUAAAAAAUCCCACCAAACUAAUGGAAUGUGUAUAUUUUAUAUAUACAUAUACAAGAAAAUAG